rnacentral:rRNA from 1 species
UAGUAACGGCGAGUGAAGCGGCAACAGCUCAAAUUUGAAAUCUGGCUUCGGCCCGAGUUGUAAUUUGCAGAGGAUGUUUCUGGCGCGGUGCCUUCCGAGUUCCCUGGAACGGGACGCCACAGAGGGUGAGAGCCCCGUAUGGUUGGACACCAAGCCUGUGUGAAACUCCUUCAACGAGUCGAGUAGUUUGGGAAUGCUGCUCAAAAUGGGAGGUAAAUCUCUUCUAAAGCUAAAUACUGGCCAGAGACCGAUAGCGCACAAGUAGAGUGAUCGAAAGAUGAAAAGCACCUUGAAAAGGGGGUUAAACAGUACGUGAAAUUGUUGAAAGGGAAGCGCUCAUGACCAGACUUGUGCUGGGCAGCUCAUCCGGGGUUCUCCCCGGUGCACUCUGCCCAGUUCAGGCCAGCAUCGAUUUUUGCUGGGGGAUAAGAACAGUAGGAACGUGGCCCUCCUUCGGGCGGGUGUUAUAGCCUACUGUACGAUACCCUGGCGGAGAUCGAGGUUCGCGCAUCUGCAAGGAUGCUGGCGUAAUGGUCAUCAGCGACCCGUCUUGAAACACGGACCAAGGAGUCGUCCAUUAGAGCGAGCGUUUGGGUGUAAAACCCGCACGCGUAAUGAAAGUGAAAUUAGGUGAGAGCUUCGGCGCAUCAUCGACCGAUCCUGAUGUUUUCAGAUGGAUUUGAGUAAGAGUUUUAACGGACGGACCCGAAAGACAGUGAACUAUGCUUGUAUAGGGUGAAGCCAGAGGAAACUCUGGUGGAGGCUCGCAGCGGUUCUGACGUGCAAAUCGAUCGUCAAAUAUGAGCAUGGGGGCGAAAGACUAAUCGAAC